rfam:Cryptococcus bestiolae CBS 10118 unplaced genomic scaffold supercont1.5, whole genome shotgun sequence.
CUCUCCGUAGUUUAGCGUGGUUUAGAGCGUCAGACUGUAAUUAACUUGUAGUUUCAAAUCUGAAAGUCGUGCGUUCGACUCGCACCGGGGAGA